AUGCACGCUGGCGGCGUGCCUAAUACAUGCAAGUCGAGCGAACGGACGAGAAGCUUGCUUCUCUGAUGUUAGCGGCGGACGGGUGAGUAACACGUGGAUAACCUACCUAUAAGACUGGGAUAACUUCGGGAAACCGGUGCUAAUACCGGAUAAUAUUUUGAACCGCAUGGUUCAAAAGUGAAAGACGGUCUUGCUGUCACUUAUAGAUGGAUCCGCGCUGCAUUAGCUAGUUGGUAAGGUAACGGCUUACCAAGGCAACGAUGCAUAGCCGACCUGAGAGGGUGAUCGGCCACACUGGAACUGAGACACGGUCCAGACUCCUACGGGAGGCAGCAGUAGGGAAUCUUCCGCAAUGGGCGAAAGCCUGACGGAGCAACGCCGCGUGAGUGAUGAAGGUCUUCGGAUCGUAAAACUCUGUUAUUAGGGAAGAACAUAUGUGUAAGUAACUGUGCACAUCUUGACGGUACCUAAUCAGAAAGCCACGGCUAACUACGUG
rnacentral:rRNA from 1 species